rnacentral:lncRNA from 1 species
UCAAGACUCCAUUAGCCUCUACUUGCUAUAAACCCCAUGGCAGCGCUACUCGCAGCAUUCUCCAAGAAAGCUCACGUCCUCGUCGCCUUCGCGCUGCUGGUGGCUCUCCUCGCCGCGGUUGCGUCGGCGGGCAAGGGCGACCUCCUGAUGACAGACGGCCAGUGCACAAGAGUUGGAGCCUGCUCGGAUAGCUUGUGCACGGAGCAGUACUGCAGCGUCCAUGACACCGGGUCGUGCAAGUUCGUCGGCCAAUACGUCUACUGCUGUUGUGGCCCAGUGCAUUCGACAUCCACCGACGAUGUCCAUCCGCGGCCGCUUGGUCAUUGAUGAUCCGUCAUAUCUUUGUUUGAUGCAUGAUUAGACGUGAUAUGGUUAGAUGUUUUGCACCGGUGUAUGGGAUGUAUCCGAUCUGAUUAUUGGU